rnacentral:rRNA from 1 species
GGGACCGCCCCGGGGCCCUUGCGGCCCGGACCCAGGCGCCCGCCGGAGACCCCAAACUAUAUGUUUUACUGUACAUCUCCUCUGAGUGACACAUAAACAAUAAAUAAAAACUUUCAACAACGGAUCUCUUGGUUCUGGCAUCGAUGAAGAACGCAGCGAAAUGCGAUAAGUAAUGUGAAUUGCAGAAUUCAGUGAAUCAUCGAAUCUUUGAACGCACAUUGCGCCCGCCAGUAUUCUGGCGGGCAUGCCUGUUCGAGCGUCAUUUCAACCCUCAGGCCCCCAGUGCCUGGCGUAGGGGAUCGGCUCAGGGGCGACCGCGCAAGCGGCCGCUUCCCGCCGGCCCCGAAAUCUAGUGGCGGUCUCGCUGUAGUCCUCCUCUGCGUAGUAGCACAACCUCGCAGCUGUAACGCGGCGGUGGCCCUGCCGUAAAACACCCCACUUCUGAAAGUUGACCUCGAUCAGGUAGGAA